AAACUGGGUCUAAUACCGGAUGCAACUACUGCCCGCAUGGGCUGGUGGUGGAAAGGGUUAUGUACUGGUCUUAGAUGGGCUCACGGCCUAUCAGCUGGUUGGUGGGGUAAUGGCCUACCAAGGCGACGACGGGUAGCCGGCCUGAGAGGGUGACCGGCCACACUGGGACUGAGACACGGCCCAGACUCCUACGGGAGGCAGCAGUGGGGAAUAUUGCACAAUGGGCGCAAGCCUGAUGCAGCGACGCCGCGUGAGGGAUGACGGCCUUCGGGUUGUAAACCUCUUUCAGCAGGGAAGAAGCGGAAGUGACGGUACCUGCAGAAGAAGCGCCGGCUAACUACGUGCCAGCAAGCCGCGGUAAUACGUAGGGCGCAAGCGUUGUCCGGAAUUAUUGGGCGUAAAGAGCUCGUAGGCGGCUUGUCGCGUCUGCUGUUGAAAGCCCGGGGCUUAACUCCGGGGUGUGCAGUGGGUACGGGGCAGGCUAGAGUGCAGUAGGGGUUAACUGGAAAUUCCCUGGUGUAGCGGUGAAAUGCGCAGAUAAUCAGGAGGAACACCGAUGGCGAAGGCCAGGUUACUUGGGCUGUUACUGACGCUUGAAGAGCGAAAGCAUGGGGGAGCGAACAGGAAUUAGAUACCCCUG
rnacentral:rRNA from 1 species